rnacentral:lncRNA from 15 species
GAUAAAAGUAAAAGUGCUUCAAUAUCUUAAAAAUCAGGACUUACAAAGAGAAAAUAAAAAUUAAUAACCACUAGAAUAAAUAAGGUAAUAAUGCAGUUAAAAGUAUUAGGAAGUAAGUCAUUACUAGUAAUUAUAUUACAGUAAUUAUAUUACUUUCCCCAGUAAAUAAUAAUGUAACUAAUUCCUAAUAAAUGUCAGUAAUAAUAUUACAGUUACCCACCAAAAGUAAUUAGUUACAUUACUUUUGUUGUCACUCCCUAUUUAUUUCAAUCCAACAAUCCAAUCCCAUCCUUUAUUCAUUUUUGCAUUGCAUUGAAUUUUCACCCUUGAUAACAGAUGAUCAGCGAGGGUGUGACCAGUUAGAUGCAUUCCUCUGACAUCAUGUUUUUAUUUCAGGACCAUGCAUUUUCUCAGCCUCUCUAAAUAAAGAACCAGUGUGUAGGAUUUAGAGGCAUCUAGCGGUGAAGCUUCAGACUGCGACUAACUGAACGCUGGCGUCUGUGUUUUAUGACCUGGGAAUGAGAACGGGCUGAGAAUUGUGUGAGAGAAACUACGUUGGCCACAGAACUCAUGAAAAAUGAAAAAGGCCCUAUCUAAGCCCAGUGUUUGGUUUGUCCGUUCUGGGCUACUGUCAGGAUAUAGUGAACAUUUAAGCAAAUAUGACAAAUAAUAGUUAAUAAUUAUAAAAGUUACCUACUGCAGCUUUAAACUGCACUACACUUCAUGCAACUGGCCUCAAGUCUGAAAACUGAGGAAAUGUUUCUGUGUGGCUCUUACUCUUCAUUGUAAGAACAAGUACAUAAUUCCUAGAAUUUGACACACUGUUGACCUACUUUGAGUCACUUUAUACAGAAACCUUAAGAGCAGACUUCUGAGAGUGCUGUUCUGUCUCAUGCAGUCUGCAAGGAUAAUAUUACUUUUCAACAAAACAAGAAAAAGACAUGCCACUUCACCUUGUUGCCUGUAAAGAUUUGCAGUGUAGGUGUCUUUAAUGAUGGACUUGCAACAACUUGACACAGUGACAGUCAACCAACAUCCACCACCAUGGACCACAGAAGCAUGGGGGCCAUGGGGGACCAUGGGAGGCCCAGAACCCCAUUCAACACGCACAGGAAGAUGGUGGGAUGACACUACGUUGUGAUGACUCGGAUCAGUUACAUUACUUUUUCAACAGCACUCACUCGCUUCAGGCUCUUUUUUUGAGUUUCUAUAUCAGACUUUAAUCUAAUUUGAUGGACAGAUACAUGCUGG